GAUGACCAUCCCAACCAACUUGGCCAAGCACCAAGUCAACCUGCAGGUGGCUCCCAUCAUAGCCAAGAUCAUGGCGAAGGUCAACGACGGGUCCUAGUGAAUGUCAUGAGCUCACCAUGCUGCAACCGUGGUGGCGGUGACGCUCAUCCUCGUGGACGACCUCUUAGAGCUCGAUGCUUUGGAAGCCAAUAUGGAGUUCAAAUCGAAUCCAGUCCCAUGUUACCUUCAACCAGACUAGGAGUGGUCAUGUAGCAGCCCUAAACCGGUAGCAGGCUUCUUUGAUCUGGAGAACGGAAACCAGGAGCUCAAGAGUGACCUUAAGCACCUCCACAUGAACACUACAACAAUGCAGACUUGUAAAUCCUCGAUAUUUGGCCCAGGUGAUGCAGCUGAUGGAGGGAGGAAGCCAAGUGGCUCGG